rnacentral:rRNA from 1 species
UGAGCAAUCUGCCCUUCUCUUCGGAAUAAGCGUUGGAAACGACGUCUAAUGCCGAAUACGACCUCCUUUCGCAUGAUCGGAGGUGGAAAGCUCCGGCGGAGGAGGAUGAGCUCGCGGCCUAUCAGCUAGUUGGUGAGGUAACGGCUCACCAAGGCUUCGACGGGUAGCCGGCCUGAGAGGGCGACCGGCCACACUGGGACUGAGAUACGGCCCAGACUCCGUACGGGAGGNAG